rnacentral:rRNA from 1 species
UGGGAGGUCACGGGAUACGGCCUCGUUUCGGCGGGGUCCUCGUGGCCGCCAGUGAAAUACCACUACUCUCAUCGUUUCUUUACUUACUCGGUGGAGCGGGAAGCGGACCAAUGAGUUGUCCACGCUUCUAGCGCCAAGCGAUGGGCCCCCGGUCUCCCUUCGGGGUUGUGCCGGUCGGGCCUGCGCGACCUGUUCCGAGGACAGUGUCAGGCGGGGAGUUUGACUGGGGCGGUACAUCUGUCAAACGGUAACGCAGGUGUCCUAAGGCGAGCUCAGCGAGGACAGAAACCUCGCGUAGAGCAAAAGGGCAAAUGCUUGCUUGAUCUUGAAUUUCAGUACGAUUCGAGACCGCGAAAGCGGGGCCCCUCGAUCCUUUUGGCUUUAAGAGUUUUAAGCAAGAGGUGUCAGAAAAGUUACCACAGGGAUAACUGGGUUGUGGCA